AUGUAGGAAUUGUUAUUAAAUUAAUUUUGGUUUUUCAAAAUAAUUACUGUAAAACUUUGACUUUUUUGUUUUUGAGAUUAUAGCUUAAUUACAACUUUUCUCCCUUACUUUUCUCCCUCUAAACUUUUCCAAUACCCCUCCCUGCCUACCUGCUCUCCUUCAAAUUCAUGGCCUCUAUUUUUAAUUAAUUAUGGUUAUAUGCAUUAAUAUCUAUGUAUAUUCCUAAAUAUAACAUGUUCACUUUGUAUGGUGUUACUUGUAUAUAUAUUUUUAAGGCCAACCAUAUACUUUCCAAUAUAUCUAAUUUGGUUUUGAUUUAAACAGAUUGAUAAUUAUAAUGAAAUAAUAAAACUAGCAUGUUUUUACAAAUGUUAAAUUUUCUGGUAUCUAUUAAAAUAGAUGCUGAUAAUAGGAAAAGUGCUGAAAAAUUCAUACAACUUUUAAGAAAUAAAACUAUGUAUUUGCUAUAAACAGACUAGUUACAUACACUAAAUUUCUAGUAAGAUAUUAAAGAUUAAGUGUAUUAUCCUUUUGGAUAUCUAAAUUUUUUAAAUCAGAUUUAUAAAAGAAGGAGCAGAUUAAUUUUAUGAUUAUAGUUAGCCUUGAAAAUUAUAUUUAUGUGAGUGGCACAUGGAUAUACAGAUGUAGAGGUCACAGGGUAACCUUGGUGACAUUUUCAGGAUGCUGCCCACCUGGAUUUUUGAGGCAGGAUAUCUUACUGGAAUGUGAGGCUUGCUAACUGGACUAGAUUGUCUGUCCAAUGAGCCUCGGGGGCUCUGCCUGCCUCUGUCUUCCCAGUGCUGGGAUUGCCAGGUAUCAAGCUCAAGUCCGGUUGUCUGCAUGACCAGCUUUUACCAAAUGUGCCACCUCCCCUGUUCUGAAGGUUGUUUUAGUGUAACCCCUGCUUCUGUGGUGCCAUGUGUUCUUCUCCCAUAACCUAUCAGCCAUCGACUCUUCUUAUGAUUGCAUUGUUCCAGUGAUUCUCUUAUCUCAAAAAUAAUAAAUUUAUCUCAGCCCUAACCAAGAACCUAUCUGCAGUUGAUUCACGGCCUAAGGAAAAAUCGAUUUUCUCCAAUGGAAUGUCACUAGUGUUUUAACCACACUCUGGGGCAGACCUGAUGCUCAGGAAUCAUUGGCCAACACGAAACAGACUUAAUAAUAUUUUUGUGGAGAUGUUUUGUUUUGUUUGUCUUACUGGUCCUAGACUGUUUUGAUUUUCGUUUUAUGGAUUUUUUUUUAUUUUUUAUUCUAUUGAAAAAGAGAGGGCAGAAAGUUGGGUAUAUCUGGGGAGGAGAAACAUGAUCAAAAUAUACUGUAUGAAAAACUUUAAUAAAGAGAAAGUGAGAAGAAAUUAUUGCAGCUGAGAAUAACACUCCUUUCUUGUGCUAGGCCCUCUCUGGUGGCUUCCACAAUUUAGCAACUCAAAGUCAAAUAAUGCUUCUUAAUUUGUUAAUAAUGUAGGCUUCUGGUUCUCUGCUUUCUAUAUUUUUACAGCACUUGUGGCAAAUAGUUAUAGAAAAAGUAAACAGUAUACUGGCCUUGUACUCUUACCUGUCUAAACAGCCUGUGUGGUGCUUGGGUUACAAGCACGGCACUUAUCUACCAGCUUCUUGUCCUCCCCACACUUACAGAACAGUGGUAGGCAGCCAUACUGCAGUGCCGUGGGCUCUCACACAGGCCAUCCCCCAUUCCUACUGUGUGUCUGAGUACUCUGGUGUUGUUGGGAAAUGCUGUUCUAAGCUGUGGGCCCUGCCUUUUAUCUUGUUCAGACUCCAUUCCUCCUUUUGUUUGACCUGAAGGUAGAAACAGCAAUUGUAUUUGAGGUGUCCGCUAGUGAGCCACAUGGUGGCUAAGAUUGGGAAGGCAGAUAGAUGACCUCAACCUUCCUGACGCUGCAACCUUUUAAUACAGUUCCUCAUGGUGUACUGACCCUAACCAUACAAUUAUUUUCAUUGCUACUUUAUAACUGUAAUUUUACUACUGUUAUGAUUUGUAAUGUAAAUGUCUGUGCUUUCCAGUGGUCUUAGGAGACCCCUGUUAAACAGUCAUCCAACCCCCAAAGGGGUCAUGACCCACAGGUUGAGAACCACUGCCUUGGAGGAGAUGAAUGUUUGACAGGGGAGGUAAUCUAAUGAAGUCAAGGUCACAAGAGACAGAGAAGAGGCCUGCUUCAUGGGUCUGUGAUCUGUAUAGACAUCCCAUUCUGUGAUGGGCUCUGGAUAAUUCUUCGUUUUCAAGGGAAAGCUCUGCUGUUAUAGGGCCUGGAGUCCUACAAACUGUAACUGAUCCUGCAAUAGAAAGUAUAAUAGAAUAGGAAGCAGAAAUUUCUUCUUUUUGAUUCUUCAUUACUUUUCAUAAUAUUACCAGACUGUGAAUGAUAAUUCAAAGACAUUAAAAAUUUGCAGGAAAAAUUGGCCUAAUUUCAGUGCAAUUUUAUGGGUAUAUAGAUCAUCUGUAAUUGAAGAAGAUUGAUAAAUUUUUUACAUGAUAUUAAAAAUAAUCACAUUGAUAAUUCAUAUAGAGACUUUUUGAAGUCAGAUAUGUACAUAUAAUUUGAGAAGCAAAAAUGAUCAGAGGCGUAGACUUGUGCUUCUCAAUGCUUUUAUUAUUUGAUAGUCAUUUCCUCUGACGAUUACUCCUAUAGUAGCCAUUGUCUCAGGAAUUUAUCAUAGUACUAGUAAAAUUUAUUUCUAUAAAAACUUAGCACAUGAUGUAUUGAAACUCAGAAUCUCAACACUGUGAUUUUUAAUGAAGCGUGUUAGUUUCAUAUUUUGAUAGCUUUAUAGUGCUUCCAUGUUUAAAAUGGACGGUAAUGUCUAUAUCAUACCUAGACUUGAUUUUCUGUAUAUCUUCCUUGCUAACACUUUCCUAGCUUCACUGAUUAUAGAACAAACAGAAACACACCUUUGCUGACAUUCUUUAAUGUGUGUUUCCUUUUAUUCUAAUAAACUGUAGUGCAGGGUGAUGUAGGGAGUUACCUGAAUCCACUGAAGUGAGUCAAGUCAGAUUAUUUUCUGACAAUCUAACUCUGCUGUAUGAGUGCCAGAAUUGGUUGUGUUGGUUGAGGCCCUCUUCCCUUUAGGGAGUAGAAAUGGGCCAGGAGGAUUGUUGGCCAUAAUGCUUCUCUGCAGAUGUAGUAAAAGCAUGUGGCUACUUUAACCAGAAUCUUCUGUGUGCCCAUCUGUACAUGUCAUAAAGAGCUGAUGUAGGAGAGUCGUCAUUUUUAUUAUUACUUUUCUUGUGAAAUUGAGCUUUAAAAUAGAAUAAAUGUCUAUAUUUAAGACUCUGUGUGUGAGGGGGUGGGAUUUGGAGGACUUAGUGGCUCAGUUUUAGAUUUCUCUAUGGCUUUGGUCCAAAAGGCAACAGCCUUUUAGAAAAACCUGUUCACAACUUGCACAGACUUCCAGAGACAUACCAGGAACCAUCAGGCUAAAGGUGUAAGAAGAACUGUUGAUAUCACCCUGUGGACAGAACUGAAAGUCCUUAUCCCAGACAUGUGACCUAGAGAGGAGCCCUGGCCUACUGAGUGGACUUCUGUGCAGCUCUUCCUCCAUUGUAAAGACAUGUUCAUGAGGCAAACAGUCUAAACUGGAGAAGCAGCUUUAGUUCAUUGAGUUUUAUUUAAAACUAUAAAAGUGUAUAUUUAGAUCAUGUAGAAAAUUAAACUGCAUUAGAUUCUGUAUAACAUUGUAUAAGGCACUGAUUGUACGAGUGAAGUUAAAUAUAACAUAUCAGCAGACACUUAAUACAUCACCCACAUAGACAGUAGUAUCAGCUUAACAAGGAACUUGGACCAAAGGAGAGACUAAGGGGCAGAUGCAUGUGCACCGCUAGGUGCAAAGCCUUCAUUAUUGCCUUUGGACUAGUUGAACAAAAUCGCAUCUUCUUUUCCCUUUAGCCCAGGGAAACUUUCUGCAGGAGAUAGAAAUGAAGUUGAUGGCAGACACUGCUUUUGACACGUUU
rnacentral:lncRNA from 1 species